rnacentral:RNase_P_RNA from 2 species
GGAGUUGGCCAGACAGCCGCUGCCCGCCCACGUUCGCGUGGCCGGGUGGAGGAAAGUCCGGGCUCCGCAGGGCAGGGUGCCAGGUAACACCUGGGCGGCGCGAGCCGAUGGAAAGCGCCACAGAAAAUAUACCGCCUAAGUCUUCCUGAUUCAUUUCAGGUGACCGGUAAGGGUGAAAUGGUGCGGUAAGAGCGCACCGCGCGGGUGGCAACAUCCCGUGGCAGGGCAAGCCCCACCCGGAGUAAGGCCAAAUAGGGGAACGAUAGUGCUGCCCGCACUGUUCCCGGGUAGGCCGCAUGAGGCGCUUGGCGACAGGCGUCCCAGAUGAAUGGCUGUCCACGACAGAACCCGGCUUACCGGCCAACUCCUUUU